GACGAACGCUGGCGGCGUGCCUAAUACAUGCAAGUAGAACGCACAGUUUAUACCGUAGCUUGCUACACCAUAGACUGUGAGUUGCGAACGGGUGAGUAACGCGUAGGUAACCUGCCUGGUAGCGGGGGAUAACUAUUGGAAACGAUAGCUAAUACCGCAUAAUAUUAAUUAUUGCAUGAUAAUUGAUUGAAAGCUGCAACUGCAUCACUACCAGAUGGACCUGCGUUGUAUUAGCUAGUAGGUGAGGUAACGGCUCACCUAGGCGACGAUACAUAGCCGACCUGAGAGGGUGAUCGGCCACACUGGGACUGAGACACGGCCCAGACUCCUACGGGAGGCAGCAGUAGGGAAUCUUCGGCAAUGGACGAAAGUCUGACCGAGCAACGCCGCGUGAGUGAAGAAGGUUUUCGGAUCGUAAAGCUCUGUUGUAAGAGAAGAACGGGUGUGAGAGUGGAAAGUUCACACUGUGACGGUAUCUUACCAGAAAGGGACGGCUAACUACGUG
rnacentral:rRNA from 1 species